rnacentral:rRNA from 1 species
GAUCAUGGCUCAGAUUGAACGCUGGCGGCAUGCCUUACACAUGCAAGUCGAACGGCAGCGGGCCUUCGGGUGCCGGCGAGUGGCGAACGGGUGAGUAAUGCAUCGGAACGUGCCAUUGAGUGGGGAUAACGUAGCGAAAGUUACGCUAAUACCGCAUAUUCUGUGAGCAGAAAAGCAGGGGACCGCAAGGCCUUGCGCUCUUUGAGCGGCCGAUGUCAGAUUAGCUAGUUGGUGAGGUAAAGGCUUACCAAGGCGACGAUCUGUAGCGGGUCUGAGAGGAUGAUCCGCCACACUGGAACUGAGACACGGUCCAGACUCCUACGGGAGGCAGCAGUGGGGAAUUUUGGACAAUGGGCGCAAGCCUGAUCCAGCCAUGCCGCGUGAGUGAAGAAGGCCUUCGGGUUGUAAAGCUCUUUCGGCCGGGAAGAAAUCGCAUGGGUUAAUACCCUGUGUGGAUGACGGUACCGGAAUAAGAAGCACCGGCUAACUACGUG